ACACUGCAAUGGGCUCUGAAGGGCAUAUGUCAAAGCAUCUGACUGCAGCUCACUCUAGCUGCAGGAGGUGGAUUCCCCUUCUGCAGGACUAACACCCGAAUCUGGCUGCAAGGCAGAGGAUGUGCAAGCGCUCUGCAUGAGAGCAUCACCAGUUCCUUACUGUGAGUUCACCCAUAGCCAGCAAGGUAAGCAGUGCUGAAACACGGGAUUAGAGAGCAAACUGUGCUACAGGAACGCCAACCCAUGCUCCACGUGGAGGGACAACGAUCCCAGAACAGUUGUAUAAAUCCCACGUUUAUUUAUUUUGUCAUGUUUGUAAACGCACAAUGUUUUUGAACUAUGAGUUGUUACAUAGUGAAAGGAUGCUGUCCUGCAUUCUGUAGGCUGUCCGAACUCUUGAUACAGUUUUCUUGAUGGCCAAAUUAAGGACAUAAAAACACAGUUCUCCAAAUCACCUCGUUCUGAGCACUGAAUGCUUCUGAGCUUGAAACCAAAACAUUAAACCCAGCCUUCCUCUUCCUUCUGGGAGACGGGGUGGGGAUGCUCACCUUGCCUUUAAACCAUCCAUAGCUCAGUGCUUUGGGCUGGCAGCUCUUUGUAUGUUUGAGCUCCAAGACAGCACUAUGAGAACAGCCUAUUGCAGAAGGUGCCCCAUGCAAAAUGCUUUCCUCCCGUUCAGUAAUAAACCACAGGACAAACAUCAUCAGCAAUAACAGUGAAAGGCCCGCCGUGAGAAGGGGUAGGAUUUCACUGGAUUUCCUGAGCAGUCUGCUCUGUAUGUUUGGUGCAGGAUUAAAAAUGAUGUUACAGGUAGUCAGUGGGGCAUCUAUCUGAUGAAAUCCACCUGGUUAUGGAAGCUGAGAUUUAAACUUCUGCAGAACUCCAUUGCUAUUGUAAGGGAGAAGGGAAAGCCUGCCCUGCACCCUGCAGCACUCCACAUAGAGUCGUAGGACGGUUUGGGUUGGAAGGGAUUUGAUGGUCACACCUUCCCCCAUUGACUGCUGGCUUCUUCUCCUUCCCUGGUAGCAGGCUGGUGUCCUGCAGGCUCACAGGUCACUGCAAGGAGGUGGUUCCCUUCCUCACUGUUGCCUCGACAUCUCAGCCAGGUCUUCCAGAGAAGUGAGACCAGCUGUUGGAUUUGCCACCAAAUAAAGUUCCAGAUGAAAAUCGUUUCCCAUAAGAUUGCAGGAUUCCAGGGUUCAAGCCAUUCAAUCACAAGUGUCUUGAAUGGCUGAUGUCUCUGUGUGGGAGCAAGCUGCUUGUACUGAUGAGACAGUUUGUGGUGGACCUGACUAGAAGAAAUGAAGUCUUCAAGGGAGAUGGAAGAAUACUGGAAUGGAGGCAGGCAAUGGUAGACUGCUCAGAUGUGGACCCAUAACACCUCUUCACCUGCAGCAUCAGAGUAAAAAUGAGUCUUUUGCUACCCUCAGGGAUGCUGUUGCCUGGAGGCACAGAGCUUGGAUACUGCCCACUGAUGUUCCCAGGCAUAUCUGUUGAAGUAUCUGUUGCUAUUUGACUGGAGAGUUUCAGGGGAGUGAGCAAACCUUUUUUUCCAAGCUGUUUGCAAGCCAAGAGCAUUCUGGAAAGAUUUGCCCAUUCCUGUCUCACUGUGCUGGCUUUGCAGAGGCCAUCUUGGUGUGUGGGAAUGAUCCCUCGGUACACACAGUGGAAAAGAAGCAGUUCUUCCUGUGAGUCUCCCUCUGCUUUCCUCUGCUGCUCGUUAUUUUUUGGGUGCUUGCAUAUCUUUCCAUCCAUCCGUCCUUUUGUCCAUCCAUCGGUCCAUCCAUCAAUUCAUUAGUCCGUCCAUUCAUCCGUCUGCCUGUCUACUUGUCCAUCCAUCUGUUUGUCUGUCCAUCCAUCCAUCUGCCUAUCCAUCCAUCCACCUCUCCAUCCAUCUGUCUGUCCGUCCAUCUGCCCAACGCCUGUCCAUUUGUCCGUCCAGCUGUCCCUCUGUCCAUCCAUCCAUCCCCACCCAUCCGUCCAUUCAUUCGUCUCUCCAUCCACAUAUCCAUCCUUUCAUCCCUUUGUCCAUCUGUCCGUCCAUCCGUCCGUCUGUCCAUCCAUCCGCACGGGCUGCCAGCGCUGGGAAGGGCUCCACGGGCCUGCCAAGGCCAGAUGGUGUUUGUGAGGAGCUCCAGGUCCCAGCUGAGCGCUGCCCGGCGAGAUGCACGCAGGAGCUGCCGGGCAGCCGGCUCUGCCAAACCCUCGGCAUAUGCUGCGCCCAGCCCUACACCUGCUGGUGGGCAGCCGCUGUGCGCUGCCGGCGUAAAGCAAGGAGGAAAAGCACAGCCCCAUCUGGAAGGAAUUUAACGGAUAAACAGCAGCGGUGAAACCCCCAAAAAUUAAAAAAAAAAAAAAGUGUAAAAUUGAAGAAUGUGCAGAGGGAGUCGGAAACGGCGGGGGGAGACGCCACGGUGCUGGGCUGAGAUGGCCAAGGAAUGCCCACGUUUGCACCAGCACCCCAGUUUUCACCAGGACCCCCAUUUGCCCGUGCACAGCCCCACCACCCCAGCUAAAUGUGCUGAGAAUUGCUGGGGGAUAUUUGGAGAAAACCCCAAAUGGCUGCGAGCAAAAUUGAUGGGGGAAUAGACUUCCUGCCUACUUUGUAUUUACUUUAAAACCGUGCACACUCCAGGCUCGAGCCUGUAAUUUAUUGAAAGGAACCAGACUGGAAACCAGAUUCACACUGUGAGUAAUUUCCAACAUCAUUGCCAUCUAUCACCGGGAGACAGGGCACUUUGUUUCUCUGAAAAAUUAUUUUUGUAGUUGGCUUAGUAACAACAACAAUUAUUAUUAUUAAUAUUAAUAACUACUUGUGUAAGGCCUUUCAUGUGCUGUUUAGAAAGGGUUCUGCACAUGGGACAGUUGUGUUGGCUGCGCCUCUUGGGAAGGGAAAACAAGACACAGACUUGGCCCCUGCCUUGCUCAGGGGGGCAGAAUCCUUUUCUGCUAGUUCGCUGUGCUGGAUGGGUAAGACUUCUGUUCUGCCUGUCCUGGAGCUUUGUUCUUGCUGAGAGCAGAGGCACAUCAGCAGCUCCAGUGAUGGGUUGUGCCUCCUGGCAGGCCCAGAAGUGUGGUACAGCAUGAGUUUUCCCCUCUGCUGUUCUCCAGGCUGCAUCUCUACAGCACGUCCAACCCAGCGUUGGGAAGCCUCUUAGAGCCCAGCGUUGCCACCCCUUCCCAGUGGGUAUCUCCCAGCAUCACCAUCGAUGUGCUGCUCUCCUUAACAAAGGGCCAACUCUAACCCAGAAUCUACAUCUGACCAGGCUUUGCUGUUGAGGUGGAGGAAGCUCAGAAACACUGAGCUUCUGCCAUUGCUCUUCUUCCUCCCUUCCCUCUUCUGAGCCCCUCUCCAGGCCCCAUCCACCUGCCAGCAUCCCUAGAGGCCAAGCUGAGCAUCACUCCAUGGACCUGACCCCACUGCCAGCCCGUGCUGCCAUUCAGACGGCUGAAGUCAAAUUAGGGUCAGAUUUUGGGUAGUUCUGUCUGGAGCCAGGAGUUGGGUUCAGUGCUGCUUAUGGAUUCCUUCCAACUCAGGAUAUUCUGUGAUUUAAUGAUUCAAGCUGUCCGCACCAUGACAUUACAUAAAGGGCUCAGAGGAGGGCUGGGAUCCACGAGGCCAUGCAGAAGAUGGGAUCCUCUGUGGCUUUUCUUCCCAGGGAAGGCUUUCGGGAGAGUUCUGCACCCUCUGAAGUGGGGAACGGCGCAAUCACCUCCUCAGAGAACUGCACAAGGAGCAACGGUCGUUUUCCAGUUAAGCUAUGGGCUGUGCUAAGGCAGACGGGGAAAGAGGGCGCUGGCUGACACUGCAGCAGGAAGAUGUGCAGGUCUAUGGACCACAGCAGUGAUGUCUCUUCUCCCACGUCCUUCAGACAUCUCCCCUUCCCCACGGCUGCACCGCAGGGUGCGCUGGGACAGGAGUAGGACCUCUGCCCUGUAAGCAGCAUCCGUGCUCCUUGCAGUAGGGCCUGCAGAUUCAGCGUUGACAGGGGUUGCUUCGAAUGUAACAGGAUCCCGCGUCAGAUGUAAAUCAGACUGCAGGCAUUUGCCUCGUGUUUCAUGAAGGAGGUCAGUGUGGGGGUUUGCCUGUGAAAACGUGGGUGAGGGGCUGCCAGCGUCACCAGGCAAAGCUGGGUGCUCCCUCGGUGGUGCUUUGCAAACCAAGCGUGGGCAGCACAGCCAUCUUCUGCCAUCCUUUGGACCUCCCGUGGCCUCUGCAUCGUGCUGACACCCUGCUGAGGCUGUCAGGAGCUGUACUGCAGCCCAGGAGCUCUGCACGAGGAGGCUGGUCCUGCAAAGCAGAGCACUCUGCGUCUCACUUGCAGGUGGGCAGUGAGGGCUCCCAGAGAGGGCUGUCGGCAUGCUGUGGGUUCAGGUUCUUCAGAAGCUCUGGGUGUUGCUUCGUGCUUCACACGGAGCCUUUGAAGCCAGCCUGAGCUCCAAGCCAUCUCCUAAUUGCUUUUCCUUUAUCAGACAGACUUUCAACGAACUUCACGAAAGGUGUUUGAGGCCAGAGCAGCCCCAUAGGCUGCCAAAUGACAGGCGCUGCUGGGGGCGACUGGGUGAGCCCUGUUUUUUAAAUGUAAAGA